GAUGAGAUACCCGGGUAGUCCACGCAGUAUACGAUGCUCACUCGCUGUUGUCAAUACACCGUCAGCGGGCUAAGGGAAACCGAUAAGUGAUCCACAUGGGGAGUACGAUCGCAAAGAUUGAAACUCAAAGGAAUUGACGGGGGCACCGCACAAGCGGUGGGAACAUGUGGUUUAAUUGGAUGAUACGCGAGGAACCUUACAUUGGGCUUAAAUGUGAAGUGCAUUGUUUGGAAACAGACAUUUCCUUCGGGACUCUUUACAAGGUGCUGCAUGGUUGUCGUCAGCUCGUGCCGUGAGGUGUCGGGUUAAGUCCCAUAACGAGCGCAACCCCUAUUGUUAGUUACCAGCGCGUCAAGGCGGGGACUCUAACGAGACUGCCGGUGUAAACCGCGAGGAAGGUGGGGAUGACGUCAAAUCAGCACGGCCAUUAUGUCCAGGGCUACACACGUGUUACAAUGGUCGGUACAGAGGGCAGCUAGGCAGCGAUGUCAAGCGAAUCUCGAAAGCCGAUCCCAGUUCGGAUUGGAGUCUGCAACCCGACUCCAUGAAGGUGGAAUCGCUAGUAAUCGCGCAUCAGCCAUGGCGCGGUGAUACGUUCCCGGCAUGUACACACCGCCCGUCAACCAUGAAGUCUGGGGUGCA
rnacentral:rRNA from 1 species